GUUUGGAUUAGCCAAGGAGGGACGCAUGAUACUUGCUCUCUUGAGCAUUACGUCGAACACGUUUCGGGCAUGAGCACGGCUGCUCGCGCGACCACACCUGAUGAUUUCCGAUCAACUCCGGUCGGCCAAAUUGAAUGCUGCAGGAAGUCUGUUCUUCUUUUUGGCACCGUUAAAUAUCUGGAUAUGACUCAACAUUGACAGUGAUGGACCUGAAGAUUCUUGAUCGGCAAACAAGAGAUCUGAUCAAAAUGCCUGGCAAAGUGGACGUACUGGACCCAUUGCUUGAGACAUAAGACAAACUGUAAAGUUUUGAUUGCUGAUAUGGAAGAAUAUGACCUAUACUCCACCCCCUACUGUAGAUUUUGUUUCCUUAACUUAAAACAGUCUGGUUAAGAGGCCCAGGGAAUGUACUUGAGGAAGAUCAAGGAGAAUAAUAUCUACAGUUUAUAAUCGCCAUCUCAUCAGGUCUUUAACAGUGCCAUCAUAUAUGGAUUACCCUUGUUUUGAGGCUUUCGUAGAUUCAGAGUUCUUUGAUUGAGUAGUUUGUCUGUUCACUUCACUUGCGCAAGAAGAAACCUUGUAUUGCUAAUGGUGCCCCUUUAAAUCACCAGGUAAAGAAUUCUUAGACACUUGAUGUAGUCUCAGGUCGUGGUAUUCUAGUGUGUUAAUUUAGUCCCAAAUGCCAAUUUUCUUAAUUUUAUAUUCUCUCUCAAUUGGAAUGAAUUACAGGACGUGUCAUCACAUAUGGUAUGGAUUAGCCUUGUUGUGAGGCUUUCGUAGAUUGAGAGUUAUUGAAUUGAGAGAUCACAAUUAUAGCCAUAGUUUUUAAAUCGUGUCAUCACUAUUAUAGCCAGGUUUAUAACUUAAUUGCCAUCAUAGGAUUAGCCUUGUUUUGAGGUUUUCCUACAUUGAGAUUUAUUUAAUAAAGUGUACUGUGUGUUCACUUCACUUGCACGAAAAGAAAUCUUUUAUUGCUAAUGGUGUCCCUUUAGAUCAUCUGGUAAAAAUUCCUAGAUAAUAUAGUCUUGGGUUGUGGUAUUCUAGUGUGUUAACUUAGUCCCAAAUAUCAGUCUCUCAGUUGAACUGAAUUCCAGAAUAUGCCAUUUUGCUACUACAUUGUCUAUGUUCCCGCUUUUUUAUUGGUUGUGUAAUAUGAUACCCACAGGUUUGUCGACUACUUAUUUUGAUGUUUGUUGGACUGUUUAGUUAUUCUUUCUUUUGAGAUCUAGUGUUACAAGCCAAUACAAGUUCACUCAAAAGAUCGGUAGAACUGUUGGACUGUUUACAGUACUACAGAAGUUGAGAGUGGAAGACUUGGAUUUCAUAGUCGAUUGGUGUAACUUAAUAUAUUUACCUUAUUAAGUGAGUGGAGGUGAAUAAUUAAAUAGAAAAACAGAGCUUGUUGGCCUUCGUUGUUGGAUAGCGUAAUGUUGGUCUUCAUCAUCUCAUCCUAAUAUUGGCCUUCAUUUUUGGAUAUGUACGUAAAGCGAACAAAUUUUUAAAUUUUAGUGUUUUGUAAAGAAAUGUAGUUUAUUCAUGUGCACAAUCAUAGAAUUCAUUUGCAGGUAUAUUGUUGUUAGUGAUGGCGUCUUGGAGACCUUAGAGUCCAGGGAUUGGUAUUGUGAAUGGGAAGCUGGAUUUAUAUGUUGCUGCCACCAAAAAGAACCCCCAAAGGGUAAUUCUUUAUUAUUUGAUGUUUCUUUAUUCAAUUAGGUGGUUUGACUUGUUUAUUUCAACAUAUGCAUCCUAUAAGUGCAGUACGAUCUUAUGUAAUGUUUGUGAAACUUGCAUUAUGGUGCAAACCAAUUUUAAACAACAGUGAUGCUUGUAUGUUUCAGAUAACUUAUUCUGGGUAAACCUUAUUCUGUCAAACGUUUGAUCUGUUAAUCUUGGGACCCCCCUUAUUUAGUGUAGUGUGCUGAAAUUGAAAUCGGUAUCCGGCAUUCUUAGCAUGCUAAGAUUUCAAAAAUUAGAAAAUUGGAUUCUAAAAUUAGAAGAUUGGAUUGAUCCCCUGUAUUAUUGAAGUUUUCAGCAGUAAAUGGAACACAGGAACAAGAUUGAGGUGCACUUUGGGACUCACACAUGACUAAAACAUUUUCAUCCAUUCUGCCACAUUUGCCAGUGUUUAGUCUCAGACCCGGCCAGCCAGUUUUCUAUGUAAUUCAAAACUAUUAGAGGUGUUUUGGUCUUUGAUUUAAUGGAAAUUAUCAUCUCUUACAUCUUACUCUUGAAGAAAAUUUGUUUCCCUCCCAUUUAACUAUAAUACCUUUGAGAAUCUGUAAAAAAAGUAGAGGGGUGAUAACAGGAUGUGGCUACAGGAUAAACUUGUGAAUAUCACCCUCUACAUACUCUACCUCUCUUUGGGAUGUUUCGUGAUUUAAUGAUUGCCCACCAAGCUGGGAUUGUGGAUUUUAUUAUUGAAUAUGAUUCUAGUGCCCUGGUGGAGUUGGUCUCGAAACUUAUAAGCGAGUCUCACCUCUAUAUACCUUAAUCAAUGGCGGCAGGUCCCUGUUGUCUGCUGAUUGGAAUUGUCACUUGGUUCAUGUUUAUCAAGAGCCCCAUAUUCUUCAGGAUCCCCAUUGUCUAUCCCAGGGUUACUUGCUGGUGCUUCUGCUGGUGCCUCCCAAGUGUAGAGAUUUAUUUUUAUUUUUAAUCUGUUGUGUUUGGGUCUUUUACCCUCUUUGUACUAAGAAACAAAAAAGUAAGGUAAAGUCUACAGUCCAAGUCUUGUUUAAUUUAUUAUUGAAACAUUCCAAUCAUUGUUAACUGAAACAGCCUGAAUCCUUUCUAGUUAAUGGUUUGGGCUAAACUAGGAAGUAUUAAUGAUUUAGAAAAUUGGUUUGGAUUAGCCUAGGAGGGACACAUGAUACUUGCUCUCUUGAGCAUUACGUCGAACACGUUUCGGGCAUGAGCACGGCUGCUCGCGCGACCACACCUGAUGAUUUCCGAUCAACUCCGGUCGACCAAAUUGAAUGCUGCAGGAAGUCUCAUCUUCUUUUUGGCACCGUUAAAUAUCUGGAUAUGACUCGACAUUGACAGUGAUGGACCUGAAGAUUCUUGAUCGGCAAACAAGAGAUCUGAUCAAAUGCCUGGCAAAGUGGACGUACUGGACCCAUUGCUUGAGACAUAAGACAAACUGUAAAGUAAGUUACAGACUUCAAUGCUUAUCUAUCUAUGUUGAGGUGUGUAAUUAUUGAAAACUUAGAGUGUAGUAUUUAUAUCUGUUAGGUGAUAUUUUGAUACAUUUACUAACAUGGGCAAUCUUGGAUGUUGAUCUUGACACAUAACCAAUGAGAAAAUAUUAGAGGAUUUUGUACUCGGUGUCAAAGAAAAGUAGAAGUAAUUCACAAAAAUAUUUGCAAAGUAGGUAAGUUCAAGUCAUAAUAUUUCUGGCUUAGUUUCAAGACCAAUAACAUAUAUUGCCAGUCUUUAGUUGCAUGUUUCUUGUUAACUGUGUUACCAUUCAGAGCUAAUUUCCUAUUAGUGGAUUGGAGAAGUUUGAUAUUGAUUUUUAGUUUUUGAGGGUUGUCAUUUAUUAUCUAUUUCAAUGGCAGUAGAGAAAUGUUUAAAAUAGAAAUAGUAGGGGAGACAGGAAGUAAUAACCUGUUUUUUAAGAAGUUGAACCUUAAAAGUAAAAUCUUCAGUACACUCUAGCCUAUAACAUAGCACUAGGAAAUAGUGAUGCCAGAUUAACCACAAUCAUAAGGAUCACUAUACCACCUUGGCCAACAGUCACCACCGCACUCCUGCCCUUUUCCAUAGAUGAAAUCAGUCUGUAUUGCCCUUUGUCAGUCUUGUUGUGCAUGCAUGCACGUCAUUCUACUUGGGUAUGCUGAAAUAUUAUAUCUUAAUAGAACAUCUUUUUUCAUCCCAUCUUAGUAGAUCAUAUUUUAAUAUAAAUUUGCCAUUUUAGAAUUUGACAGGUUUUGAUUGCUAAUAUGGAAGAAUAUGACCCAUACUCCAUCCCCUACUGUAGAUUUUGUUUCCUGAACUUAAAACAGUCUGGUUAAGAGGCCCAGGGAAUGUACUUGAGGAAGAUCAAGGAGAAUAAUAUCUGUAAUCGCCAUCUCAUUAGGUCUUUAACAGUGCCAUCAUAUAUGGAUUAGUCUUGUUUUGAGGCUUUCCUAGAUUCAAGUUCUUUGAUUGAGUGGAUUGUCUGUUCACUUCACCUGCACAAGAAGAAAACUUGUUUUGCUGAUGGUGUCCCUUUAAAUCACCUGGUAAAGAAUUCUUAGACACUUGAUGUAGUCUCAGGUCGUGGUAUUCUAGUGUGUUGAUUUAGUCCCAAAUAUCAAUUUUCUUAAUUUUAUAUUGUCUCUCAAUUGGAAUGAAUUACAGGAUGUGUCAUCACAUAUGGUAUGGACUAGCCUUGUUUUGAGGCUUUUGUAGAAUGAGAGUUAUUGAAUUGAGAAAUCACAAUUAUAGCCAUAGUUAUUAAAUCCUGUCAUCACAAUAAUAGCCAGGUUUAUAAUUGCCAUCAUAUAUGGAUUAGCCUUGUUUUGAGGUUUUCCUACAUUGAGUGUACUGUGUGUCUACUUCACUUGCACAAAAAGAAAUCUUGCAUAAUGUAGUCCCUUUAGACCAUCUGGUAUAAAUUUCUUGGAUAAUGUAGUCUUGGGUCGUGGUAUUCUAGUGUGUUAACUUAGUCCCAAAAAUCAGUCUCUCUGUUGGGAUGAAUUCCAGAAUAGCCAUUUGGCUACUACCUUUGUCCAUGUUCCCUGCAUUUUUAUUGGUUGUGUAAUAAGUUAACCACAGGUUUGUUGACUACUUAUUUUGAUGUUUGGUCGACUGUUUAGUUAUUCUUUCUUUUGAGAUCUAGUGUUACAAGCCAAUAACAAGUUCACACUAAAGAUCGGUAGAACCGUAGGACUAUUUAUAGUACUUAAGAAGUUGAGAGUGGAAGACUUGGAUUUCAAUUGGUGUAACUUAAUAGAUCUACCUUAACAAGUGAGUGGAGGUGAAUAAUUAAAUAGAAAAACAGAGCUUGUUGGCCUUCAUUGUUGGAUACGUAAUGUUGGUCUUCAUCAUCUCCAUCCUAAUAAUGGCUGUCAUUGUUGGAUACAUAUGUAAAGCGAACAAAUUUUCAAAAGUUAGUGUUUGUUAAAGAAAUGUAGUUUAUUCAUGUGCAGAAUCAAAGAAUUCAUUUGCAGGUAUAUUGUUGUUAGUGAUGGCGCCUUGGAGACCUUAGAGUCCAGAGAAUUGGUAUUGUGAAUGGGAGCUGCAUUUAUAUGAUGCUGCCACCAGAAAGAACCCCCAAAGGGUGAUUUCUUUAUUAUUUAAUGUUUCUCUAUUCAAUUAGGUAGUUUGACAUGUUCAUUUCAACAUAUGCAUCCUAUGAGUGCAGUACGAUCUUAUGUAAUGUUUGUGAAACUUGCAUGAUGAUGCAAAUCAAUUUUAAACUACAGUGAUGCUUGUAUGUUUCAGAUAACUUUUUCUUGGUAAACCUUAUUCUGACAAAAGUUGGAUCUGUUAAUCUUGGGAUCCCCCUUAUUUAGCGUGCUGAAAUUGCACUUGGUAUCCGGCAUUCUUAGCAUGCUGAGAUUGCAAAAAUUAGAAAAUUGGAUUCAUCCACUAUAUUAUUGAAGUUCUCAACAGUAAAUGGAACACAGGAACAAGAUUGAGGUGCACUUUGGGACACUCAUGAUAUUUUCAUCCAUUCUGCCACAUUUGCCAGUGUUUAGUCUCAGACGCAGCUUCAUUAAGCAGCCAGUUUCCCAUCUAACUCAAAACUUUUAAAGGUGUUUUGGUCUUUGAUUUAAUGGAAAUUAUCAUCUCCUACCUCUUACUCUUGAAGAAAAAUUGUUUUCCGUCCCAAUCAACCAUAAUACCUCUGAGAGUUUAUAAAAAAUAGAGGGGUGAUAACAGGAUGUGGCUACAAGAUAAACUUGUGAAAAUUGCCCUCUACAUACUCUGCCUCUCUUUGGGGCUGUUUUAUGAUUAAUGAUUGUCCACCAAGCUGGGAGUAUGGGUUUUACUAUUGAAUAUGAUUCUAGUCCCCUGGUGGAGUUGGUCUCGAAACUUAUAAGCGAGUCUCACCCUCUAUAUACCUUAAUCAAUGGCUGCAGGUCCCUGUUGUCUGCUGAUUGGAAUUGUCAAUUGGUUCAUGUUUAUCAAGAGCCCCAUAUUCUUCAAGAUCCCCAUUGUCUAUCCCAGGGUUACUUGCUGCUGCUUCUGCUGGUGCCUCCCAAGUGUGGAGAUUUAUUUUUAUUUUUAAUUUGUUGUGUUUGGGUCUUUUACCCUCUUUGUAUCAAGAAAGAAAAAUUGAGGUAAAGCCUAUUGACCAAGUUUUGUUUAAUUUUUGAUUGAAACAUUCCAAUUAUUGUUAACUGAAACGUCCUGAAUCUUUUGUAGUUUACUGGUUUAAUAGAAUUGUGAUACAUAUC